rnacentral:rRNA from 1 species
CAGAGUUUAUCCUGGCUCAGGAUGAACGCUAGCUACAGGCUUAACACAUGCAAGUCGAGGGGCAGCAUGAACUUAGCUUGCUAAGUUUGAUGGCGACCGGCGCACGGGUGAGUAACACGUAUCCAACCUUCCGUUUACUCAGGGAUAGCCUUUCGAAAGAAAGAUUAAUACCUGAUAGUAUGGUGAGAUUGCAUGAUAGCACCAUUAAAGAUUUAUUGGUAAACGAUGGGGAUGCGUUCCAUUAGGUAG